rnacentral:rRNA from 1 species
CAGCCGUAAACAAUGUGCGUUAGGUGUGUCGGUAACCACGUGUUACUGAUGCGCCGAAGAGAAAUCGUGAAACGCACCACCUGGGAAGUACGGUCGCAAGGCUGAAACUUAAAGGAAUUGGCGGGGGAGCACCACAACAGGUGGAGCCUGCGGUUUAAUUGGAUUCAACGCCGGACAUCUCACCGGAUAAGACAGCUGAAUGAUUGUCAAUCUGAAGGUUUUACAUGACUAGCUGAGAGGUGGUGCAUGGCGUCAGGACU